CCACCCCACCUCUUCCCCUUUCUUCGGGCUUGGUUUUUUACGAUUUUUAUUUAUUUGUGGAGCCUCUCGGCUUCUGGGGUCCUUCUAACUCCGCCCGCGCCCUUAAUUUAAAUCGCUGUAUACUGUAUUUAUCGGGGCCCCGGAGGGGAGGCCGCGAGAGCCGCGUCUGUGUAUAAAAAGCAGGAAAUAGCCAAAGCUUUAAUCUAG
rnacentral:lncRNA from 1 species